GCAAAACAUACAUAAUAUCUUCAAUUAAUAAAGCAACCAAGGCCUCACAGACAAAGCCUCAGUAACAGUCACAUAUACAUAAAUUCAACAGAGGGGAUAAAGGGAAGAACCUUGUUCAACACUACUCUUAGAUGAUCUAAAAAAGCAACAACAUUAUACUGUUCAUAUAUCUAAUAAAACACUUCACUAAUAAUUUGAACAAUCUUCGGAACCAUAACUAAUAAGAAAUAGCCCAGAAACUAUUGCAUAUAUGCUUCAACCAUAGGAUCACAUAUUUUUGGACUCAUCAUCUGAUUCCUCAGAGGACACAUCGGUAUCUGUGUCAGUAGUUCCAAUCACGGCUGCUGCUUCUGAGUUUCUAUUAGGGAUCACCUCCGCCUCAGUGCUCUUCUUGCUUGAUUGUUUUGCCUGUUCCAUAGCACUAUCAAGAAGACGCAAAAUGACUUCUUGCUCCUCUCUGGUAAGACGAGCCCUUAGC
rnacentral:misc_RNA from 1 species